UGUGUUAUUAGUAUAUAAUUAAAAUCUAUACUGUAUUAGUGCUGUCAUGAAAGUCUAUCUUUGAUUGUGUUCAAGGAGGAAAAUUGUGUAUCACGAACCUUUUAUAUGAGAUGCUGAGAACUCUUAGGCAGAAUAUUUUUAAUUUUCUUGUCAAUAGUGAAACUUUGAUGUUGUUGCUGUUACGGAGUAGGACUGUCUCUGUCAGACAUACGUGAGGUUCCGUUCAUUAACCUUCAGGGAGUUCCACAUGCUGGCCCCUUCCUCUUGCAUCACCUCCGCAAACCUUGAGACACUAGACGUGUACAGUCCUGGAUGUGAGCAGUGUGGCUUCUGAGAGCGCUCUGGGCGCUUGAGUGAACAGAGUAUGUUUUCAUACUGGGCUGUGGCCCCUGAUAAACGUGCUGCAGAGUUUGUGUUUUACUCCUUUUGAUUUGUGUAAAGGAUCUCCUAUGAGGAGUUCUCGAUUUAGACUUUAAUAUUGUGUGGUUACUUCCUUGACUUUACUGAAAAAAUAUUAAAGUACUUAGUAUGCCAGUAUCUAACUUGAACUGUAUCUUAUACAGUUCUUAUACAUUUAGUGCAGGUACCGUAACCAAAAGAUAU
rnacentral:lncRNA from 1 species